CCUACGGGAGGCAGCAGUGGGGAAUAUUGCACAAUGGGGGAAACCCUGAUGCAGCGACGCCGCGUGAGUGAAGAAGUAUUUCGGUACGUAAAGCUCUAUCAGCAGGGAAGAAAAUGACGGUACCUGACUAAGAAGCCCCGGCUAACUACGUGCCAGCAGCCGCGGUAAUACGUAGUGGGCAAGCGUUAUCCGGAUUUACUGGGUGUAAAGGGAGCGUAGACGGCAGCGCAAGUCUGGAGUGAAAUCCCAUGGCUUAACCAUGGAACUGCUUUGGAAACUGUGCAGCUAGAGUGCAGGAGAGGUAAGCGGAAUGCCUAGUGUAGCGGUGAAAUGCGUAGAUAUUAGGAGGAACACCAGUGGCGAAGGCGGCUUACUGGACUGUAACUGACGUUGAGGCUCGAAAGCGUGGGGAGCAAACAGGAUUAGAUACCCGUGUAGUC
rnacentral:rRNA from 1 species